GAAAUGAAUUAUUCUUCAGAGGACAGGUCAAAUGGGAAGCACUUAUGGAUGAACUCUUGUGGAUUGGCUUGUCUAAAGCCUAAGAGGAUGCUCUGCUGGAGGAUUGAUAACUAUUAUACAUUGUGAUGACUUCCGAGAACUUCUUCCAAGGGAAGCAACUGUUAAGUGUCUAGUUGGUGCAGGCUUCUUCCCUGAUGAGAAGGAUAUCCUUGGCAAUAAAUCCGUGAUAUCCUUUUAUCAUGAUGUUGUCCAGCUUCAGAGUGUUGUGAAGAGCUUGCCAGGAGAUCGCAGUACCAGUAUGGAACCAGCUGGGAUGUGUAAAUGCCCCCUAAUUUUAUAUUUUACCCUAUCACAACCAUAUGAUAGGAAGUCGGUAUAUCCAGACGCAACAUAUCUAGUACCAGAUGGAUCAGAUCCUCAAGGCCACCGGAGAAGAUGCGGAUUGAGCAUUUACAAUUGUGAAGCUGAUCUGAAGGCUACCUGAUAGUUUCAAGUUUAUGUUUAUGUUAUGGUGGUCAUUUAAAUAAGUUCGGUCUUUUGUCUAUUUUUAGUGAUUACGUUUUCUUCCCUUGAAACUGAAGUUAAGAGACUCUAUAUAUGAAAUGUCAUCAUCUAGCCAGUUUGGCAUUCUAGUAAGAAAAUACGAUUCAUUUUGUAUGUUGAUGCUUAAUGUCAAGUUACAAGCUCUUUGCUUAGAGAAGGAUGUGAAAUUGAGAUGUUUAUGGAUUUUGGGAUUGUUGUU